UACAGAGGUCUCAAGCGUUGUUCGGAUUUAUUGGGCGUAAAGCGUGCGUAGGCGGCGGGGUAAGUGAGGUGUGAAAUCCCCAGGCUUAACCUGGGAACUGCAUUCGAGACUGCAUUGCUAGAGUAUGGGAGAGGGAAGUGGAAUUUCCGGUGUAGCGGUGAAAUGCGUAGAUAUCGGAAGGAACAUCAGUGGCGAAAGCGACUUCCUGGACCAAUACUGACGCUCAUGUGCGAAAGCGUGGGGAGCAAACAGG
rnacentral:rRNA from 1 species